rnacentral:rRNA from 1 species
GAUGAACGCUGGCGGCGUGCCUUAUACAUGCAAGUCGAGCGAACAGGCGAGGAGCUUGCUCGUGGGGCGUGAGCGGCGGACGGGUGAUUAACACGUAGGUAACCUACCUAUAAGGCUAGGAUAGCUUCGGGAAACCGGAGCUAACACAGGACAAGAUUUCGAACCGCAUGGUUCGAUAGUGAAAGAUGGCUUUGCUCUCACUUAUAGAGGGACCUGCGCCGGAUUAGCGAGUGGGUAGGGUAACGGCUUACCAAGGCAACGAUGCGUAGCCGACCUGAGAGGACGAGCAGCCACACUGGGACUGAGACACGGCCCAGACUCCGACGGGAGGCAGCAGUGGGGAAUUUUGGACAAUGGGGGCAACCCUGAUCCAGCCAUGCCGCGUGCGGGAAGAAGGCCUUCGGGUUGUAAACCGCUUUUGUUCGGGAAGAAAUCCUCUGGGCUAAUACCACGGGGGGAUGACGGUACCGGAAGAAUAAGCACCGGCUAACUACGUG